AACUUUGUGCAGUGGCAGUAUCAUAGCCAAUAAGGUUUAUCCGAGGCACAAUUAUUGCUAAUUGAAAAUGUUUCCCAAUACCCUGCCAUGACAACUUGAAGUAUAGUCGGCAGUGGCAAUUUUUGAUAUUCUCUGCAGAGA
ensembl:snRNA U4 U4 spliceosomal RNA